GCUCCUAUCGUCUAGCCUGGUCUAGGACAUCGCCCUCUCACGGCGGAAACCCGGGUUCGAAUCCCGGUGGGAGCA
rnacentral:tRNA from 4 species